rnacentral:rRNA from 1 species
GCACGCUUAGGCGUGUGACUGCGUACCUUUUGUAUAAUGGGUCAGCGACUUAUAUUCUGUAGCAAGGUUAACCGAAUAGGGGAGCCGAAGGGAAACCGAGUCUUAACUGGGCGUUAAGUUGCAGGGUAUAGACCCGAAACCCGGUGAUCUAGCCAUGGGCAGGUUGAAGGUUGGGUAACACUAACUGGAGGACCGAACCGACUAAUGUUGAAAAAUUAGCGGAUGACUUGUGGCUGGGGGUGAAAGGCCAAUCAAACCGGGAGAUAGCUGGUUCUCCCCGAAAGCUAUUUAGGUAGCGCCUCGUGAAUUCAUCUCCGGGGGUAGAGCACUGUUUCGGCAAGGGGGUCAUCCCGACUUACCAACCCGAUGCAAACUGCGAAUACCGGAGAAUGUUAUCACGGGAGACACACGGCGGGUGCUAACGUCCGUCGUGAAGAGGGAAACAACCCAGACCGCCAGCUAAGGUCCCAAAGUCAUGGUUAAGUGGGAAACGAUGUGGGAAGGCCCAGACAGCCAGGAUGUUGGCUUAGAAGCAGCCAUCAUUUAAAGAAAGCGUAAUAGCUCACUGGUCGAGUCGGCCUGCGCGGAAGAUGUAACGGGGCUAAACCAUGCACCGAAGCUGCGGCAGCGACACUAUGUGUUGUUGGGUAGGGGAGCGUUCUGUAAGCCUGUGAAGGUGUACUGUGAGGUAUGCUGGAGGUAUCAGAAGUGCGAAUGCUGACAUAAGUAACGAUAAAGCGGGUGAAAAGCCCGCUCGCCGGAAGACCAAGGGUUCCUGUCCAACGUUAAUCGGGGCAGGGUGAGUCGACUCCUAAGGCGAGGCCGAAAGGCGUAGUCGAUGGGAAACAGGUUAAUAUUCCUGUACUUGGUGUUACUGCGAAGGGGGGACGGAGAAGGCUAUGUUGGCCGGGCGACGGUUGUCCCGGUUUAAGCGUGUAGGCUGGUUUUCCAGGCAAAUCCGGAAAACUAAGGCUGAGGCGUGAUGACGAGGCACUACGGUGCUGAAGCAACAAAUGCCCUGCUUCCAGGAAAAGCCUCUAAGCAUCAGGUAACAUCAAAUCGUACCCCAAACCGACACAGGUGGUCAGGUAGAGAAUACCAAGGCGCUUGAGAGAACUCGGGUGAAGGAACUAGGCAAAAUGGUGCCGUAACUUCGGGAGAAGGCACGCUGAUAUGUAGGUGAAGUCCCUCGCGGAUGGAGCUGAAAUCAGUCGAAGAUACCAGCUGGCUGCAACUGUUUAUUAAAAACACAGCACUGUGCAAACACGAAAGUGGACGUAUACGGUGUGACGCCUGCCCGGUGCCGGAAGGUUAAUUGAUGGGGUCAGCGCAAGCGAAGCUCUUGAUCGAAGCCCCGGUAAACGGCGGCCGUAACUAUAACGGUCCUAAGGUAGCGAAAUUCCUUGUCGGGUAA